CGCCCCGUUUUGCAUCUUAAUUUAUAUCUAUAAAUCGUCUAUAUAUUAUUCCAACAAUGUUAGAUCUGUAAAUUGGCGGAAGCAAAUGUUUUGUUCUUCCCUGAUUGGGAUUCGAACAUAUGCUAUUCUGCAAAUUUACAGAUCUUACUUAGUUGAGUUGUUAUUUAGACGAAUUAUAUAUAUAUAAUGUGUUUUCAGUUUU
rnacentral:lncRNA from 1 species